AGAAAAGGUCAGGAUUACCUAGUUGGUAGAGCAGAAGACUGAAAAUC
rnacentral:tRNA from 1 species